AACUCAUUCAGCCCCAAGUUAAACUUCAUAGUUCCAUUUGAUGCGGCUAAAUCCAAAUAAUAUAGUCCUCUAGCGGACUUUUUAAAUGUUAACACUUUCCCCCUCCCAAAUUGUGUUCUGUAUUCGGUCCGACCAGUUGCGGACACAAUUUGGUUAAAUUGAACAUUUUCAGAUGCCAUUAUAACACUUAACAAAUUUCGUAAAUAAUAGAUUUCUAGUAAAAAGUUAGAAGUACUUGAAAACGAAAAAUACGCACUUUUAUACUAUUUCAUUUUUCUAGAAAAUAUUAUCUAAACCAAUAAUAUUACACUUUGAAGUAUGGGGUGGGACUAAUGGAGAGAUAACCACCCCAUUCUUAGGUUUCACAUAACAACUCUAUGUUGAAUUGUUUAUGUGGUGCGCCAACAAAAAUGCGCUUAACAACAAAACAACGUGUUGGUGAAUCUCUAGAAACUUUACUGUGAUAAUAUGUCAUCUGCUUUGUUUUGGGUUUCUUAACUUAAAAUCUUUAUUUAAAGCAUCUACAUUGUAAAAACAAAAACUAAAACAUUCAAUUUUUUUUUCUGAAAAAAAUAUUUUGAGUAUCACUGUCUCGUACCUAAUAUUUUCUUAUUAUAUGUGCUUCCGUUCCCCUUUUUUCAAGUUAUACUAUUGUUGAAGAUCAUAUAGCAACAUCUCAAUUCUUUCAUAUUUAUUCUUUUUCGUAUUGUACUUUUUUUUUGACACGGUCACGAUCUCCCGCCUUUUUAUUUUUAAUUAGACUGUUAAUUAUGUGCACAUGCGCAGACGAUUCACAGGGAAAAAACUGAAAAAUCAAAAUGGUGAACGUUAAGUGUUUGUUGAUGUUUUGUGUAGUUAUAUGUAUUAAUGGCCAAGUGCAUGAUCUAAACAUUAGAAAAUGCAGAAGCAUAGUAGAUGAGAGCUACGAGGUAGUUGAGCUACAGUGUCUCUAUGAGGGAGAGGGCAGUUACAUUUUCCAUGGGCCGACUUCAGUCAAAAAGAUCACACUGGAUAGAUUGGCGGGUUCCAGCACCUUGAUGACUUUCGGUCUGCACUUGGAGAAAGUUCUGAUUAAAACCUGUACUAUCGACAACUGUUGCUUAGCCAUCUCCACAACCCCAAACAUAGAAGUGCAGAUAGCAGAUAAAGUUUGUUCACUUGAAGACCUUGUACCAACUAUGGAAAUGGGUACCAGUAACCUCUCCUCAUACCGAGGUGGGUUCUCUCGGUUCCGUGCCAGAACAGACUCGUAGUGUUCCAGCAUCCUCAACAUACGAGCACAACCCUCUGUCCAGCACUGUCCCUGGCCAUCAGCAGACUACUACAGAAAAUGAGACAGCAACCAAUACAACACCAUGGAUAGUGGCAACCGUCACCACUUUAACAGAACUAUUUCAAGUCCUCAUCUUUACACUCAUCAGUUUGCUAGUGGUUUUAAACCGAAUACAUAGAUUUUUAAUAAAUGCUGCACCAGCUAUUCGCAACUUCAUCCCCCCUGUAAGACAACUUCUUAACCCUCCUCCACAUCAACCACUACACCAAGCAGCAGUUCAACCCAUACCACCUGCAGUACACCAAGAAAUCAUCCUACCCUUGCCAGCACCACCACGUAUUUAAAGAAGAAGCACCAGACAGUCAAUACCACCCAACAGACUUAAUUUAUAAUUUAUUUAUGUGAUUAAUUUGUGUAUUUUAAGCUUCUCAAUGAUUGAAAUUAGUGUUUGUCAAACUGCUAUAUAACCAGUGUAAUUUUUAUGAUAAAAUGGUUGGUUCAAUUAUUUUGAAAUUUUUAUAUUUUUGUCAAAGGUUCAAAAUAAAUACUUUGUUAAAAUUUUAUGAAAAUUAAACGAGCCAUAUUAAUUUCAGUUAAGGUGUUGGGUACCACCUUAAUUAUAAAACUAUGAAUAAUACCACUGUAAGACUAGCUUUAUGAAUCAUAUUGCUUCAUUAAGUAACUUUAUAUAAAAAAAAUGUUUAAAGUAUUUCUUACCUGUCCUUUAAAAUAUUCAGCACUAUCUGUAGCAUGUCUCUGCUGUACACACUGUUUGCUGUGUUGCACUGUUGCAUGAGUUCUCCUAAAAAGGUCUCACUCAUACUCAUGAGGCACCCUAUUUUAGUUUCCUUGCUUUCAUGAAGCAAACUAUGAUAUAGUCCAGAAAUAUUAAACUGUGUAUUGCUAAAUGUGUUGAUGGGCUGGUAGCAAUACCAAUCCUUCAUUUCCUUAAACAAUUCGGGUUGUAUUGAACACUAAUAACAUGGGAAAAAGUGAAUUCCCACUACUGGUAUAUGUCGAGAUACAAAAUUAGUUAAUUCAUUAAGAAAGUUACUUGUUGAAGCAUGAUCCAUCAUGAAGUUUUCUGGAUAGAAUGAAAGUUUAAUAAUUUUUCAUAAAUAUUAAAGGAUUUAUUCUUCUCUCUUGGUUAUGAUAAGAUUCAUUAAAUAAAGUUGGGUUGAUAAUUUUAAUUCAUUUAGACUUAACUGAGAUGCCAUUUUAGGAUUAAUUUAUAUAUGACUAAGCAUCCAUUGUGGUGACAAAGGAGAUAUUAGCAUGUCUAUGUUGUAUUAUCUUAAGAAGUUUAUUGAGGUUUUUUUUUUUAUUGUUGAAGGUUUAAACAAAGUAGAGUGAUAAUUUUCUAUACAUAAGAAAAACCAACUUCCUGUGUUUGGCAUGAUUAUAAAUUAUGGUUAAAUUAAUACAUUUUUCUUUUAAUAUUUUUUUUAAAAUUUUUUGAUGUUGAAAAUAUUGAAUAAGUCAGAUUUUGAAAUGAUGUUACUUCAAAGGGUGUUGUUAAUAUUAUACAUAUCUAGGAGUUUUGUAUAUGUUUACACAAUUCUGUUUUGUUAUGUUAAUAAGAAGUUUAACUCAAAUUAGAAGUAAUAUAUGUCUAUCAGUCUGAUGUUCUCCAUUAACAGUUAAUCAGUUUUGAAACUUGAUUGCAAUUAAGACGAUUUCUUAUACUCUACAUCUAAAGAUUGUUAUGCAUGUUUAUCUAUCAACGGUUAUUUAGCUUGAGGCUUGAUUGUAAUUAAAAAUAUUUAGUAAUUACACAGUAUAAUAACUUCUAA